rnacentral:lncRNA from 1 species
UAUCUUCUUUCCUUACACUUUAGUCACCACUGUAAGAUAUAUGCAAACUAGACUUUAAAUAAAAAAUAACUACAACAAAGUUAUUAGUUAUUCAAAAAUAACAAAACUUAAACUUUAUCUACAUAUUUAAACCGAUAUGACAUCAAUGACUUAUAGCUGAUAGAUUUGAUUUGUUAUCUUAAUUUAUUCAAUUGCCAUGGCCUCUCAAUUGUCAUCCAAAUAUUCAAAUCAAAUUGUUGCAUUUUGUCUUGAUUGUGAUGUGAAAAAUAAUUGAGAUAAUUGAUUAGUUAAUGAUAUUUUAAUUUGAAAGGAGUUGUUGGCUAAUGAUUGGUUAAUUAUCUAAGUGAAGAAAAAGGGAAUAAAAUAUCUUAAUAUCGAGGAGAGGAAAAGAUAAAAAAAUAAAAUUAUCAUAAAUUUAUAAAUAAAUUAUAAAUAAAAAAGCAAGUAGGGAGUCAAAUGAUAAAAGAAAAAAUUAUGGUACCGUGCAAUAAUUACACCACAGUUUUGUCCAAAAUUAUAGUAAGAAUGCAAGGGAAGAGGUACAACUCUCAGGAGUACGCAAGACUCUGAAAAAGAAAAAAUAAAAUAUAAAUUUGAAGAAUUAAUAUAAAAAUUGAGUAAUGUGACUAAAAAAGUGAGGAUUCAAAACUUCAGAAACAUUAUUAUCAACCAUUAAAGGCAAACUUAUUAUUUAGUAAUUUAGUUGAAUGUUGGGUCUAAGAAUAUAUUAGAAUAUAAUAUGGGAUCCGGCUAUGUUACAACAGUUGCACCGUACCCCAACUUUUGUCUUUUAUGAUUUAAAUACUGCCAAAAGAAUUGGAACUGUGUUCUUAUGCUGCAUUGGUGGGAGCCCCUAUGUUACAAUUAAUGUAACGUACACACUCAACAACAACCACACAAAUGAUGGGCCCACAUAAUUUGUGUGGUUGUUGUUGAGUGUGUAUGUUACAUUAAUUGUAACAUAGCAUUUGCCUGCAUUGGUAUUAGUUUUGGCAUUGGUAUUAUUGUAUUGUUCAUGAAUCGUUGAGAGAAUAAAGGUGAUGGUGAGUCUUUCAGAUUUUGAUUUUCUUUUUCUUUUUCAACUAGUGAUGAUGGAGAUGAAGGUGAAAGGAACGAGAAAAAAAUUCUAAAAUUUUAUUUUUAAUUUAUAAAUUUAAGGGUAUUGUUGUCUUUUUAUUGAUAUUAGUGUUGGAUGUAAAUAAAUAAGUAUUUUAAUAUUUAUAAAAAUAAUAAAUAAAAAGAGUGUAAGGUGCUAAAUUAAAUAGAAUGUAUCAUAAUAUUUCCUCAUAUUUCAUGAAUAAAAUGGAGUAUAAGGUGUUCUGUCAAAUUUAACAUUAGUUAAAUCACAAAAGACAAAAAACGGAGCACGUUACAACCGUUGCAACAUAGGUGAACCCUAGAAUAUGACAUCCAAUUAAUUGACGUUUUAAAGGCGAGCAUUCUACUAAAAUUUAUUAGUAUUUCAACUAAUCCAACUUCCCCAUCACUUCACUACUCUUACCUACCCCAUCAAACAUUUAGUAUAGCGAUUUAUAUAGUAUUACAAAUCUUCCAUUUUUGUAACAAAAUUUUAUAUAACAAAUCUCCAUGGUCAUAAAAUGAACGCACAUGUUAUGGCAUAAAUUAAAGUGAGAGAACUUACCUUAGGUUUUCAUAAAUAAAGCCGGUGUCGGUGCCCCCUCCAUGAGAAUGAUACAUUCAAUUCACAAACCUUU